AGUCAGCUAUUCCCGCGAUGAUUUGGCUCCGAUCAUAUCAAUUUCUUCAAAGCUUCAGCAAUAUUAUUCCAGCCAUGUUUUCUUGAAGAUUGAGGAGAUGCUUGGGGGAUACGAAAGCUGUGUUCACUGCAGCUUCAAGAAGCUGACCUUGAACCCGAGGCCUUACUCAUUCAAGACAAGUGCCCGAUCAUUGAGCUACACUCCUAGCCUGAAACUCAGUUUUAAUUGUAUUACAACCUACAGAAUCGAUAAUGGAAAAUGUGACAGAAGAAACUCCAAGCUGCUAUAUUAGUUAUUGAAGAUGUGCCUAAAAAUGGGAAAGAGUAACCUGGGUUAAAGGAAACGAAAAUAUUUCAGCAAAAGAGAUAACAUGUAAAGGAAAAUACCCUCUAGACAUUUAGGAUAGAAAUAUAGCAGAAAUUGAAGUUUAAAUUUCAGAAUGUGACAUUGGUCAUUUUUUAAACAACAAAUUUUAUGUCAUUUUAAAAUUCGAAAUGGUGUCACUGACUUUUGUAUCUAGACUUCUUAAGAUUUGAUGAAUUUUAUACUGUUAACGUGGAAUAGUUCUGAGCACAGGUCUCUGAAGCACUAAGACAUGUAUACUCUGUUCUCCUGCCUGCUGCCCGGCUUCAGGUACAGUGGUUGGUGCCCACUAGUAAUGCUCUGGCCUCCUCCGAUGCCACAGUCUCUCCCUGCAGGUUAGUGCAAUUUAACUAAAUCACAGCUUGAAUGUCAGCCACUACUGCAAACGUUAAGCCUUCCCCAUUAGCUGGGACUCACAUCACUCAUCUGCU